rnacentral:tRNA from 1 species
CCUGGUGGCUCAGAUGGUAAAGCAUCUGCCUGCAAUGUGGGAGACCCGGGUUCGAUUCCUGGGUCAGGA